UACAGAGGUCCCAAGCGUUGUUCGGAUUUACUGGGCGUAAAGGGUGCGUAGGCGGUCGGGUAAGUCUGAUGUGAAAUCUCAGAGCUCAACUCUGAAACUGCAUUGGAUACUACUCGGCUUGAGGUCUGGAGGGGGGACUGGAAUUCUCGGUGUAGCGGUGAAAUGCGUAGAUAUCGAGAGGAACACCUGCGGCGAAGGCGGGUUGCUGGGCCGACACUGACGCUGAUGCGCGAAAGCCAGGGGAGCGAACGGG
rnacentral:rRNA from 1 species